AAAAUAUUCUUCCUCCUGCAUCCACUGGUGGCGCACCAUGAGCAUAGCUUGAUGCUGCCUUUGGGCUCCGCCUCGACAGAGCAAACUUUUUUUAAGCCCAGGAGCUUGUAGAAGCAGCAGCCGAGAAAUCGUUGAUGCACGCUAAGAGAUGCUAGUGACCGCGAUCUGUGAGCAUCGUCACCCUAGAGAAUAAAAUGCCGAUAAGGCCCUGUAGAAACUUCAAAGACAAUGAAAGCUGACCCCAUAUGAUCCAACGGAAAAGCAAACUGAAUGAAUCCCGGAAGAUCCGUCGGAGACAUGGCUCCACACCCCCUCCCCGACAAUAAGUACACCAACAGAACGGGGAAAGGGUGGGGAGAACAUUAUUCCUAUUCUGGAACAACAAUGAUAUCUUGCCGCCCCAAACUGAACUCGAAGACCUUAUGAAGAAAAUCUAAAAAAAUAUACCUCCAUGCUGUUGCACAAUGGGUCUGAGUCAGAUGUCGAUCUCGUGGCUAUCGAGGACCAUGCACCAACUUGCUCUUCUAUGAUGACCUAGCCAGGCCAGGACGCUGUUGAAGAUCACCACAUUGGAUCACUAACGCCGUCGUGGAGCACCGCCUGACGAAGGCUGCUACUCGAGCACACAUCUCCUUCGCCUCCAGCCCUCCAAGACUUCCCGGCUGCUGCCUACCGCACAUGCUUUGCCCGGUGACGCGCCCUGACAGCGGCGAGAGGAAUAGAUGAGGCGUUGCCUAGGGUUUUGCUCGUGCGCGUGCUCCUUUUUUUCCACGAAAAUUCACCACGCUGUCAAACAAUUAUUUUGGAACACGGAGGAUGGUACGCUGCCAACUAGCUUGAUAGGAGAUGUCGACCACACAACGGGGUGUGUAAUUCCAUAUGGGCAUCGGGUUGGAGGUUGCAUGAUGGGUGGUCUCCACACUAAUGUUUUUUUUAUCGAGAUUUCAGCUAUGAGGGAAUGUCUGUAUGGUGACCAAAAUCCAAUGCGGCACCAUUUGUUUGGCCAUGGCAAGAAAAAGUACUCUUUGUUUAGUUGAUUCUGUUUUUUCUUGUGUUGCCAGUUCAUCUUAGUCUCGCCAAUGUCGACCAACUCAUCACGAGUAAGCAGAAGUUUGACCACAAUUUUGGUUAGCAAAUUAUCUGUUAGAACACACUUUAUUAGCUAUAAAACAAAAAUACAUAACUAGUUUAGAUGAUAAAAUGGCGUGUUGCUUACCGGAACCAUGACGAGCAGAGAAAGGGACCAACACCACACCACAGCUGAGCAUCGGAAACCAUGGGCUGGUUGGCAGUAUCUCGGAUCACCCACCAGUCAGGAAGAUGGUCGUGUGGGCCCAAAGUGCAGGGUCAAGAAAGCAGAAAGAAAGAAAGAAAGAAAGGACGGAGAAAAAGACUGACCCUCCACGUUCUUAUCUGCAGCCGGUUUGCCCCAGCUUUCGCUCCGCCCGCCGGCUGGCAGCAAACCGCAUCCGGUACUGGCAGUACUCUCCGGCGCUAAUCGCAAUGAUUUUCACGGCAGAGGUCUUGCUUCUUCCGCUGAUCCUCAUCUACAAUGCCUGGCUAUUUAGGGCCGCGGCAGCGGGGUGGGGGGAACGAACACAACAGACGCCGUCCUCCUGCCACUUCACCUCUCCCACCUUUCCCCACUCUUCUCCAACCCCCGGACGCAGGUACUACCAGAAGUGAUCGGAAGCCUGCAGUAUGGGCAAUCUGUGCUGCUGUGUUCAAGUUGACCAGUCUACCGUGGCCAUCAGAGAGCAGUUUGGGAAGUUUGACAGUGUGCUUGAGCCAGGAUGCCACUGCCUGCCUUGGAUCUUUGGGAAACGUGUAGUUGGCCAUCUCACACUCAGGUUGCAGCAGCUGGAUGUGCGCUGUGAAACCAAGACAAAGGACAAUGUGUUUGUCACUGUUGUUGCAUCGAUUCAGUACCGACCUCUGGCUGGCAAAGAAAGUGACGCAUACUACAAACUGACCAACACAAGAUCCCAGAUUCAAGCCUAUGUCUUUGAUGUGAUCAGGGCAAGUGUUCCAAAGCUCAACCUGGAUGAUGCUUUCGUGCAGAAGAACGAUAUAGCAAAGGCUGUGGAGGAUGAACUUGAGAAGGCUAUGUCCGCAUAUGGCUUUGAGAUCGUGCAGACCCUCAUUGUCGACAUCGAGCCGGAUGCGCAUGUCAAGCAGGCGAUGAAUGAGAUCAAUGCAGCUGCAAGGAUGAGGGUGGCUGCAAACGAGAAGGCGGAGGCUGAGAAGAUUGUCCAGAUCAAGCGUGCCGAGGGUGAAGCAGAGGCCAAGUACCUGUCUGGCCUCGGUAUCGCCCGCCAGCGCCAGGCCAUUGUGGAUGGCCUGAGGGACAGCGUCCUGGGCUUCUCAGUCAACGUGCCUGGCACCACUGCAAAGGAUGUGAUGGACAUGGUGCUGAUCACCCAGUACUUUGAUACUAUGAAAGAGAUCGGCGCAUCCUCCAAGUCCUCGGCGGUGUUCAUCCCCCAUGGCCCUGGUGCGGUGCGCGACAUCGCCACGCAGAUCCGCGAUGGUCUUCUUCAAGGCCAGUCUGCCUCUGACAACUAGCAGUUGGCUUUGCCGGCAUGAACUUUGAAGCUGGUGGUGGUUUGUGGUUUGCUAGCUAUUGCUUAGAGUACUGUCUAAUAUGAUGCAUGCCGUAUUAUUAUGAACUUAUAUGGAACCAUAUGUGGAUCGUGGCGUGCCAUGCCUUAGGUUGAUGUGCGGUAACAAAACCUUUAACCUUGUGGGAAUGCAGGAUGAUAUAAGUGUGUUAUGAAAUGUUGGUGAUGAAGUUGAUCUAAUGCUUUUGCCUCGUUUAUUUUGCCUUAUAGUAUUGUGGUUACAUAGUUUUCAUGGGGGAUUUCUUCUGAGAUGUCUUUACUGUUUUGCAAGAGAUGUUUUUUUUCUUGAGAUUACACUUAUGUGUACC
rnacentral:rRNA from 1 species